AGAGUUUGAUCCUGGCUCAGGAUGAACGCUAGCGACAGGCUUAACACAUGCAAGUCGAGGGGCAGCAGGGGAGUAGCAAUACUCCCGCUGGCGACCGGCGCACGGGUGAGUAACACGUAUGCAACCUGCCCUUGUCAGGGGGAUAAGCGGAAGAAAUUCCGUCUAAUACCGCAUAACGCUGCGGGGAGACAUCUCCCUGCAGCCAAAGAUUUAUCGGACAAGGAUGGGCAUGCGGCGCAUUAGCUUGUUGGCGGGGCAACGGCCCACCAAGGCGACGAUGCGUAGGGGUUCUGAGAGGAAGGUCCCCCACACUGGUACUGAGACACGGACCAGACUCCUACGGGAGGCAGCAGCGAGGAAUAUUGGUCAAUGGCCGGGAGGCUGAACCAGCCAAGUCGCGUGAGGGAAGACGGUCCUAUGGAUUGUAAACCUCUUUUGUCAGGGAGCAAAAACUGCCACGCGUGGCAGGAUGAGAGUACCUGAAGAAAAAGCAUCGGCUAACUCCGUGCCAGCAGCCGCGGUAAUACGGAGGAUGCGAGCGUUAUCCGGAUUUAUUGGGUUUAAAGGGUGCGUAGGCGGACAGUUAAGUCAGCGGUAAAUUGAGAGGCUCAACCUCUUCCCGCCGUUGAAACUGAUUGUCUUGAGUGGGCGAGAAGUAUGCGGAAUGCGUGGUGUAGCGGUGAAAUGCAUAGAUAUCACGCAGAACUCCGAUUGCGAAGGCAGCAUACCGGCGCCCAACUGACGCUGAAGCACGAAAGCGUGGGUAUCGAACAGGAUUAGAUACCCUGGUAGUCCACGCAGUAAACGAUGAAUACUAAUUGUUCGGGUCGAGUGAUAUCUGAGUGAUACAGCGAAAGCGUUAAGUAUUCCACCUGGGGAGUACGCCGGCAACGGUGAAACUCAAAGGAAUUGACGGGGGCCCGCACAAGCGGAGGAACAUGUGGUUUAAUUCGAUGAUACGCGAGGAACCUUACCCGGGCUCAAACGAUACAGGAAUGAUCUGAGAAAUCAGGCAGUCCUUCGGGACCUGUGUCGAGGUGCUGCAUGGUUGUCGUCAGCUCGUGCCGUGAGGUGUCGGCUUAAGUGCCAUAACGAGCGCAACCCCCAUCGACAGUUGCCAGCAGGUCAAGCUGGGCACUCUGUCGAGACUGCCGGCGCAAGCUGUGAGGAAGGCGGGGAUGACGUCAAAUCAGCACGGCCCUUACGUCCGGGGCGACACACGUGUUACAAUGGCAGGUACAGCGGGAAGCCACCUGGCGACAGGGAGCGGAACCCGAAAGCCUGUCUCAGUUCGGAUUGGAGUCUGCAACUCGACUCCAUGAAGCUGGAUUCGCUAGUAAUCGCGCAUCAGCCACGGCGCGGUGAAUACGUUCCCGGGCCUUGCACACACCGCCCGUCA
rnacentral:rRNA from 1 species